UAGGUGGGAGGCUUUGAAGUGUGAUCGCUAGAUUGCAUGGAGCCACCCUUGAAAUACCACCCUGGCAUGUUUGAGGUUCUAACCUAGGCCCGUUAUCCGGGUCGGGGACAGUGUAUGGUGGGUAGUUUGACUGGGGCGGUCUCCUCCCAAAUUGUAACGGAGGAGCACGAAGGUACACUAAGUAUGGUCGGACAUCAUACGGUUAGUGCAAUGGCAAAAGUGUGCUUGACUGCGAGACAGACACGUCGAGCAGGUACGAAAGUAGGUCAUAGUGAUCCGGUGGUUCUGUAUGGAAGGGCCAUCGCUCAACGGAUAAAAGGUACUCCGGGG
rnacentral:rRNA from 1 species